rnacentral:rRNA from 1 species
ACCCGCUGAACUUAAGCAUAUCAAUAAGCGGAGGAAAAGAAACCAACAGGGAUUGCCCUAGUAACGGCGAGUGAAGCGGCAACAGCUCAAAUUUGAAAUCUGGCGCAAGCCCGAGUUGUAAUUUGUAGAGGAUGCUUCUGGGCAGCGGCCGGUCUAAGUUCCUUGGAACAGGACGUCAUAGAGGGUGAGAAUCCCGUAUGCGACCGGUUGGCACCCGUUACGUAGCUCCUUCGACGAGUCGAGUUGUUUGGGAAUGCAGCUCUAAAUGGGAGGUAAAUUCCUUCUAAAGCUAAAUACCGGCCAGAGACCGAUAGCGCACAAGUAGAGUGAUCGAAAGAUGAAAAGCACUUUGGAAAGAGAGUUAAAAAGCACGUGAAAUUGUUGAAAGGGAAGCGCAUGCAACCAGACUUGUCGGCGGUGUUCCGCCGGUCUUCUGACCGGUCUACUCGCCGCCGGCAGGCCAGCAUCACUUGGGAGCGCCGGAUAAAGGCGCCGGGAAUGUGGCUCCUCGGAGUGUUAUAGCCCGGCGCACAAUACGGCGUCCCCCGAGUGAGGUCCGCGCUUCGGCUAGGAUGCUGGCGUAAUGGUUGUCUGCGGCCCGUCUUGAAACACGG